rnacentral:rRNA from 1 species
CGGCGUGCCUAACACAUGCAAGUCGUACGAGAAAGUUGGCUUCGGCCGAUGAGUAAAGUGGCGCACGGGUGAGUAAUGCGUGGAUAAUCUGCCCUUUAGUUGGGAAUAACGUACCGAAAGGUGCGCUAAUACCUGAUAAUACUGCAUAACUACUGUUGUGUAGUCAAAGAAGGCCUCUGUUUACAAGCUUUUGCUGAAGGAUGAGUCCGCGUACCAUUAGCUGGUUGGUGGGGUAAUGGCCUACCAAGGCUACGAUGGUUAGCUGGUCUGAGAGGAUGAUCAGCCACACUGGAACUGAGACACGGUCCAGACUCCUACGGGAGGCAGCAGUGAGGAAUAUUGCGCAAUGGGGGCAACCCUGACGCAGCAACGCCGCGUGAGUGAGGAAGGUUUUCGGACCGUAAAGCUCUGUCGAGUGGGAAGAAGUGUAUCAUGGCUAAUAUCCGUGAUAUUUGACGGUACCGCUAGAGGAAGCACCGGCUAACUCCGUG